GACGAACGAUACCAAUGACACAUAGUGGAAUCUGCAAUUAGGAAGGGAAACCAAACAAUGCUUUACGGAAGAGGGAGAUCUUUUGGAAUUAAACGAAAUCUGAAGCCCGGAAUGAAGGCACACACCUGCAAGGCC